AGAGUUUGAUCCUGGCUCAGAACGAACGCUGGCGGCGCGCCUAACACAUGCAAGUCGAACGCGAAAGGGAGCAAUCCUGAGUAAAGUGGCGCACGGGUGAGUAACGCGUAGGUGAUCUACCUCUGUGACUGGGAUAACCAGCCGAAAGGUUGGCUAAUACUAGAUAGAGCGCAGAUGUCAUAAUGACAUUUGCGGGAAAU
rnacentral:rRNA from 1 species